rnacentral:rRNA from 1 species
AUGGAUGCAGACCUCCUGCAGCGCUGCCUCGAGGCCGGCGGCCGCGACUUCCUGCUCCACCAUCCGUCGUCCCCUCCCUCCCCCACAUCCGCCUCUGCCGCCGCCGCCGCCUCCUCCUCCUCUUCUUCCAUCCUCCAGUCCCUCCCCCUCCAUGUGUCAUUCGACCGCGGCUACUACCUCCUCGUGAAGGCGAUCCAGGAGCUGCGGGAGCGCAAGGAUGGCCUUGUCGUCACCGUCGGCAUCGGCGGGCCUACCGGCUCCGGCAAGACCAGCUUGGCGGAGAAGGUGGCAUCGGUGCUGGGGUGCGUCGUGAUUGUGUCCAUGGAGAACUACCGCACGGGGGCAGGGGCUGACGAGGGGAGCGACAUCGACUCCAUCGACUUCGACGCCCUCGCGUGCAACCUCCAGAAUGGUGGGCGUGGAUUCCCUGCUCGAUCGUAUUCUGAAGGCGCGUGUACUGGUUGUUGCUGUUGGAAGGAGAAUACCAGCACUAGUACAAUUUAUGCCUUCAUGGGUGGCUGCAUACGGGAACUAGUGAAGGGCAAAGAUACGUUGAUGCCACUGGUUGAUUUUCAAGAGAAGAAACGUACAGGAUGGAGACAACUGAAGAUUUCAUCAUCUGGAGUGGUGAUUGUUGAUGGUGCUUAUGCUCUGCAUUCAACACUAAGGUCACUGCUCGAUAUUCGUGUUGCUGUGGUUGGUGGUGUUCAUUUUAGCCUGCUUUCUAAAGUUCAGCAUGAUAUUGGAGAUUCUUGUUCAUUGGACUAUCUGAUUGAUAGCAUAUUUCCGCUGUUCAGAAAGCACAUUGAGCCAGACCUGCAUCAUGCUCAAAUUAGAAUUGAUAAUAGCUUUGUCUGCUCAUUCCGUGAGCCGUACUACAAACUGAAAUGCAAAAAUGAGUUACCAGAUGGCCAGAAAUUCUAUUCUUUUGAUAAAAGUAAAUCAGAAACUGAGAACUUUAUUGAGAUGUACCUUAGGCCACCUUUUGCUUCUGAAGAAAUUAAAAUUGAUGAUUGGAUUAAAGUUACGCAAUGUGGUAUAAGAUACUACCUGUCUCUCGGGGACCAGAGGAUUGUUGACAAGUUCUUUAUUAUCCGUCCAAAAGCUGAGUUUGAGGUUGGACGGACAACUCUUGGAGGAUUGUUGGCCUUGGGAUAUAGUGUUGUUGUUAGCUUUAAACGUACGUCCAGAACUGUCAAGAGAGAUCAGUUAUUAAUCGCAGCAGAGACUAUUGAUAGCCUGAACGAGUCCUUUUUGGUAUUAAAAGGGCCAAGUAGGAAGAUUGUUGCAGCAGAAGCUUCCAAUCUAGGCAUAAAGGGUCCGUGGAUAACAAAGUCCUACCUGGAAAUGAUCCUGGAGAGCAAAGGAGUUCCACGAGUUAAUACACCCCCACCAGUCUCCAGCACACUACUGACUGACAGUCAAGAAAAGAAAAUUGCUGUGCCUAAACCAAUUCGUGUUCUUACCGAUAGAGUUGCAAAUCUUGAUGACUUUGUGCAACCAUGGACUAGGUCUCCACCCAAAAAGUUUGACCAGGAACCUUCUCUGGGAAAAUGGCAGUUUAUUCCAGAUUCUUCUUCAAGAGGUAACAUCCAGCUAGCACCCCUGCCAGAUUCUUAUGACUUAGAUAGGGGUCUUCUUCUAUCAGUUCAAGCAAUUCAGGCAGUGUUGGAGACCAAAGGAUUUCCUGUCAUUGUUGGGAUUGGUGGUCCUAGUGGAUCGGGAAAAACAAGUUUAGCUCAGAAGAUGGCCAAUAUAAUUGGUUGUGAAGUUAUAAGCUUGGAAAGCUAUUACAAGCCUGAGCAAGUGAGGGACUAUAAAUAUGACGAGUAUAGCUCAUUGGAUAUUGCCUUGCUGACUAAGAAUAUUAAGGAGAUUAGAAAUACUCAUAAAGCAAAAGUCCCUUGCUUUGACUUUGAGAAGUUCAAAAGAAAUGGAUUCAAAGAGUUCCAAGUGUCCGAGGAAUGUGGAGUGGUAAUCUUUGAAGGUGUCUAUACUUUGCAUCCUGCCAUAAGGAAAUCACUGGAUUUGUGGAUUGCAGUUGUUGGGGGAGUUCAUUCUCAUCUUAUUGCAAGAAUACAGAGAGACAAGAAUCGUGCUGGCUUUUCUAUUUCCCAGAAUGAAAUUAUGACCACCGUGUUUCCGCUGUUUCAGCAAUACAUAGAACCACAUCUUGUCGAUGCUCAUCUUAAGAUUCAAAAUGAUUUUGAUCCUGUGCUUUCUCCUGAAAGCUCGCCUUUUGUAUUAAAAAGCACAAAACAGGUAUCCUACCAAGACAUACUAAAAGUGCUUGAUGCCAGUAAGGUCUGCAGCUCUGUCCAGAAUUUUACUGAUGUGUACUUAAGGCUUCCUGGCAUACCAUCAAAUGGACAGCUGACAGAAGGUGAGUGUAUUAGGGUCAGAAUAUGUGAAGGAAGAUUUGCAGUGUUAAUACGAGAGCCUAUAAGGGAAGGGAAUUUUAUUAUCCAGCCAAAGGUUGAUUUUGAUAUUAGUGCCAGUACUGUGGCAGGACUGCUUAAGCUUGGCUACCAAGCUGUUGCAUACAUUGAAGCUUCUGCCGUGAUUUACCAAGAUGGAAAGAUUCUUAUAGAAGUUGACCAUUUACAAGGCGUGACAAACCCAUAUAUUCAAAUUAAAGGAACAAAUAAGGAGAUAGUUUCAUCUGCUGCCUCUUCUCUCAGCCUAGAUGGUUCAUAUACAACAAAGAGCUAUCUUCAAAUUAUUCUGGAGAGUUUACCAGUGGAUGAUAAUGUUACUGCUGGUAUUCAUAACCAACAAGCUGCUAGGCUACAGGAACUAGUUGAGUUCAUCCAGUCACAAGGAGGGAGCUUCAAUUCUGAUUUAUCUUCACCUAUAAGAGAAAAUUCUUCAACAGAUGGUGUGCUUGAUGAUUUGCAAUCCAGAAUAAAGAGGCUUGAGAGAUGGAAUACAAUAAAUAUGGUUUUAUGGACUAUACUACUGUCUGCUCUUGUUGGGUAUUCACUAUACCAGAAAAGACGUCAUUAA